GGGGCUUCCUAGGCACUCCUAGAUGGCAAAAGGGACAUUAGGGAAAGGUUGGGGUUCUUAUAGGAUGCUCGGUUGGGCACUAGGGCAGGUAAAUCCUAAGUUCCCGGGAUCGAUCCGUCGUCCUCGAAGUCUCGGUUGAAGUCGACUCCAGGAAGAAGAGAAGGGCGUCGCUGACAGGUGGGGUCCGCUUGGCAGCGACUGAACGGCGUGGGGCUGGUUUGCCAGAGAGAGAAGGGAAGGGGACGCGCUGCUUGGCUGGCCAUUGGGCCGAGAGAGAGUGGCGGGGCUCGCUGCAUAUGUUGGGCCGAGGUGAUGGCGGAGCUGGGCCGCUGCGAAGAAGGAGGGGGAGGGAGGGGUGCGCCGGCGGGUCGAGCUGCUUGGAGGAGCAGGCCGCGCGGGGUGAGAGGUGGAGGGGGCCUUCGGGCCAGAAUAGAGAGAGGGAGAGGUUUUCCCUUUUUUCUUUUCUUUUUUUCUUUUAUUCCAAAGCUAUUUUCACAUCAUUUCAAAACAUUUUGAAUCAUUUGGAAUUUUUGACAAAGCCACACCUCUGAAUAAAAUAAAUGCACAAGCAUGAAUGCACAACAAUUUUGCUAAGUUCUAUGAUAAAUUUUAUUUAAAUGAAAAUAUUAUUUUCCCUAUAAUCCAUGAGCACAAAAAUACAAAAUUAAAUUAAUUUAGCUCUAUUUCCAAAGGAACAAUUUUUAGGGUGUUACAUGUCCUCAAUUCCGACAAUGUUCCUUUUCCCGGAAAGAACUAUGUGGCGCUUUGGCUCAUAAUUGACUUUCGAGUUGUCAUCAUUUUCCCUCUCUUUGGUUUUGUAGUCAUGUCUUUCACAUAGAACACCUGACUCACAUACGCAGCAAUGAUGAAUGGUUCAUCUUUGUACCCAACAUUGUUAAGAUCCAGAGUUGUCAUUCCAUAUUCCUUGUCGACUGUUACCCCACCUUCCGUCAUCUUCACCCAUUUACACCGGAACAAAGGAACUUUAAAAUUUACUGCGUAGUCUAGUUCCCAUAUGUCAUGUAUUUGGCCAUAAUAUGUUUGUUUGUUCCCAUUUGGAUCUAUGGCAUCUACUUGUACACCACUGUUUUGGUUGGUGCUCCUUUUAUCUUAGGCUAAUAUGUAAAAUGUAUUCCUAUUGAUGUCGCACCCUUUGUACGUGCUGAUAUACCACGAUGGCUGCCUAGCCAACAAAUAAAGCUGCUCAUCUAUGUUUUCAUCACCCUAACAUUCUUUUGUCAACCAAUCACCGAAGGUUUCCAUGUAAUGAUGCCUAAUCCAAGCUUCAUCCAUGUAAUGAUGCCUAAUCCAAGCUUCAUUCUUCCUAGGUCACUCAGAUCGAAUGAAAUCCUUAUGUACCUCGAUAUAUAGAUCCACCAGUGAGGAGUUCUGUAGAAUUGUGUAGUGUGCUUUAUUGAAGUAAGUGCUCUUUGUACCAAUAUAUGUUUUCUUCCCUAGUGUCCCCUUGCCACUGAGUCUGCCCUCAUGUGGUGAUUCAGGAACGCCAAUCGGGUCAAGGUCUGGAAUAAAGUCAACACAAAACUCUAUGACCAACUCCGUGCCAUAGCCCUAGGCGAUGCUUCCUUCUCGCCUAGAGCGGCUGUGAACAUAUUUCUUCAGAACACCCAUGA
rnacentral:lncRNA from 1 species